GAAGCCUGAUCCAGCCUGCCGCGUGUGUGAAGAAGGCUUCGGAUUGUAAAGCACUUUUAGUUGGGAGGAAGGGCAGUAAGUUAAUACCUUGCUGUUUUGACGUUACCAACACAAUAAGCACCGGCUAACUUCGUGCCAGCAGCCGCGGUAAUACA
rnacentral:rRNA from 1 species